AAGAAAGGUGCUUGUGUUGAAAAGUGCGGAGGAAAAAUUGCUGAAUUCUAAGAUCAUUUUAAGCACAGACUGUAAUGGCUGGACAAGAAGAAGAACAUGAUCUUCUAAGCAAAACGAAGCCAAAAUUUGAUUGAUAUCCCAGGACAACUGGCCAGCACGUCAUGAUUCUAGCAAAUGAAUGUCCUUUGAUCUCAAUAUGCAUAUUUAUCAUGAGCCACUUAAUUGGAUGAUAUGGUUUCUUGGUCGACCGAAGUAAAUUGAGUUGGAAGAUGUAAUAUGCAAUG